GGCGAACGGGUGAGUAACACGUGGGCAAUCUGCCCUUCACUCUGGGACAAGCCCUGGAAACGGGGUCUAAUACCGGAUAACACUCUUACGGGCAUCUGUGAGGGUUAAAAGCUCCGGCGGUGAAGGAUGAGCCCGCGGCCUAUCAGCUUGUUGGUGAGGUAAUGGCUCACCAAGGCGACGACGGGUAGCCGGCCUGAGAGGGCGACCGGCCACACUGGGACUGAGACACGGCCCAGACUCCUACGGGAGGCAGCAGUGGGGAAUAUUGCACAAUGGGCGAAAGCCUGAUGCAGCGACGCCGCGUGAGGGAUGACGGCCUUCGGGUUGUAAACCUCUUUCAGCAGGGAAGAAGCGAGAGUGACGGUACCUGCAGAAGAAGCGCCGGCUAACUACGUGCCAGCAGCCGCGGUAAUACGUAGGGCGCAAGCGUUGUCCGGAAUUAUUGGGCGUAAAGAGCUCGUAGGCGGCUUGUCACGUCGAUUGUGAAAGCCCGAGGCUUAACCUCGGGUCUGCAGUCGAUACGGGCUAGCUAGAGUGUGGUAGGGGAGAUCGGAAUUCCUGGUGUAGCGGUGAAAUGCGCAGAUAUCAGGAGGAACACCGGUGGCGAAGGCGGAUCUCUGGGCCAUUACUGACGCUGAGGAGCGAAAGCGUGGGGAGCGAACAGGAUUAGAUACCCUGGUAGUCCACGCCGUAAACGGUGGGAACUAGGUGUUGGCGACAUUCCACGUCGUCGGUGCCGCAGCUAACGCAUUAAGUUCCCCGCCUGGGGAGUACGGCCGCAAGGCUAAAACUCAAAGGAAUUGACGGGGGGCCCGCACAAGCGGCGGAGCAUGUGGCUUAAUUCGACGCAACGCGAAGAACCUUACCAAGGCUUGACAUACACCGGAAACGUCCAGAGAUGGGCGCCCCCGUUGUGGUCGGUGUACAGGUGGUGCAUGGCUGUCGUCAGCUCG
rnacentral:rRNA from 1 species